CCUACGGGAGGCAGCAGUGGGGAAUAUUGGACAAUGGGCGCAAGCCUGAUCCAGCAAUGCCGCGUGAGUGAUGAAGGCCUUCGGGUCGUAAAGCUCUUUUACCCGGGAUGAUAAUGACAGUACCGGGAGAAUAAGCUCCGGCUAACUCCGUGCCAGCAGCCGCGGUAAUACGGAGGGAGCUAGCGUUGUUCGGAAUUACUGGGCGUAAAGCGCACGUAGGCGGUUAUUCAAGUCAGAGGUGAAAGCCCGGGGCUCAACCCCGGAACUGCCUUUGAAACUAGAUGACUAGAAUCUUGGAGAGGUCAGUGGAAUUCCGAGUGUAGAGGUGAAAUUCGUAGAUAUUCGGAAGAACACCAGUGGCGAAGGCGACUGACUGGACAAGUAUUGACGCUGAGGUGCGAAAGCGUGGGGAGCAAACAGGAUUUGAUACCCUGGUAGUCCACGCCGUAAACGAUGAUAACUAGCUGUCCGGGUACUUGGUAUUUGGGUGGCCGCNGCUACGCAUUAAGUUAUUCCGUCCGUGGGUAGGUACGGUCGCGAGAAGUAAACUAACAAAUAGAAGUUAGUAACGGUCGUGUUAGAGUAGCCGAACGGACGACGACGAGGGAGGAGG
rnacentral:rRNA from 1 species